rnacentral:rRNA from 1 species
CACGUAGGGGCCAAGCGUUGUCCGGAUUUAUUGGGCGUAAAGAGCUCGUAGGCGGUUCAGCAAGUCGGGUGUGAAAACUCUGGGCUCAACCCAGAGACGCCACCCGAUACUGCUGUGACUAGAGUCCGGUAGGGGAGUGGGGAAUUCCUGGUGUAGCGGUGAAAUGCACAGAUAUCAGGAGGAACACCGAUGGCGAAGGCAGCUCACUGGGACGGUACUGACGCUGAGGCGCGAAAGCCAGGGGAGCGAACGGG